AUUAUUGGGCGUAAGGGCUCGCAGGCGGUUUCUUAAGUCUGAUGUGAAAGCCCCCGGCUCAACCGGGGAGGGUCAUUGGAAACUGGGGAACUUGAGUGCAGAAGAGGAGAGUGGAAUUCCACGUGUAGCGGUGAAAUGCGUAGAGAUGUGGAGGAACACCAGUGGCGAAGGCGACUCUCUGGUCUGUAACUGACGCUGAGGAGCGAAAGCGUGGGGAGCGAACAGGAUUAGAUACCCUGGUAGUCCACGCCGUAAACGAUGAGUGCUAAGUGUUAGGGGGUUUCCGCCCCUUAGUGCUGCAGCUAACGCAUUAAGCACUCCGCCUGGGGAGUACGGUCGCAAGACUGAAACUCAAAGGAAUUGACGGGGGCCCGCACAAGCGGUGGAGCAUGUGGUUUAAUUCGAAGCAACGCGAAGAACCUUACCAGGUCUUGACAUCCUCUGACACUCCUAGAGAUAGGACGUCCCCUUCGGGGGCAGAGUGACAGGUGGUGCAUGGUUGUCGUCAGCUCGUGUCGUGAGAUGUUGGGUUAAGUCCCGCAACGAGCGCAACCCUUGAUCUUAGUUGCCAGCAUUCAGUUGGGCACUCUAAGGUGACUGCCGGUGACAAACCGGAGGAAGGUGGGGAUGACGUCAAAUCAUCAUGCCCCUUAUGACCUGGGCUACACACGUGCUACAAUGGACAGAACAAAGGGC
rnacentral:rRNA from 1 species